ACUAGACUGAUGUGGGAAGUGCUAUUACCUACUGCCCAUCCCCACAUCCUGCCUGUCCCCAGAAUGGGGCUGCAGUUGAACCCUUAUGAGAUCACACAGGGAAGACGCUUUCAGACCUCACUAAGAAGAAUGAAUUCUCCACCUUGAAAAUGUGAAGGCAGCACCCAAUAUUCUGUACAGCUGCUGAAACUAAUUCUGACCUCCACGCAGGAAUUUCCUUCUUCUAGGACAACACCCUCUCCUCAGUGCCAUUCCCAUACUUUCUAGGCAGCAGACGCAAUCCUGCUUAUGACAGAAAAAACAGAGAUCCGAAGCGCAAUUCAUGGAUAAGUGGACAGGCCCUCAUGAAGUACUCCUCAUCGCUCAGACAUUUCUAACUCUCAUUCACCACAUCUGAGGAGGAAAGACACCACCAGAAGGUGAUUUGCCCUUCUCAUCCUGGGAACCCACAGUCCCUGGUUAGUGGACAACCCCUCUAUAAAUCUCACAUGUCUGUUCAGGAGACAACCCUAGAUGGAAUAUAUCAAGCUUUCAUGUGUUCAAUGAUUGUUCCUCUUGACCUUCUCUGUCCCUCCCUAAAACCAGGUCAGAGUCCUUUCCACCUGGUUACAAAUUGGGCUCUCUGUUUUUGAUCUCCAUCAUCAGGUGGAUGGUUGAGACUGUGGAGAGCUCCCUCUGCUGGACACUGACUAACGAAUUUGGAAAAUUCAGGCAGCCAAUCAAAGUACAUGGCAGCAGGUCCCUAACUGGCUCAGAUCAAGGGGGAUAGCUGCCAUGCUCAACCCAAAAUGCCUCCUUCCCCCUUCUAACCAGGAGAGUCCUGAGAUGUUCAAAAUCAAGGCUGAGAAGUAAAAACCUGUCUCUUCUAGAAAGAGAAGGAUUUGACACCACUCCAGACAAAAGCCAUGGAGUAGGUGAUGGAGCCAGAUGGCUACUGGCAGGAGAAGCUGAAUGGGUGAGAGAUCCACCUCAUGUACUGUGCACUACAUGCAUUUUGUGGAACUCCCCACCGAGUAGAUUGGGCUCCCCAAAAGUUGUAGAAUGCAACCAUCACGCCGAAGGAGACCAUGUGCCUUGGCCUAUAGAUACAUUCUUGGGAAAUGAAGAAUCUCCUUUUCUGGCCUACUCAGAAUGUUUCUUGAGUUGAAGGGAUGCUGACCCCUGAUCUAGUGCCCCAACUGGAAGUGUAAAGGGAAGACUCACACUUGCUGUAUGACCUGCCACCUGUCACACACUUCCUUGGUUUUGAAGGGUCUGCAUCAUCGGUCACAUCCACCAGGGGCCCCACUGCUCAUAUUUUUCCCUUUCCGAGGUGGCCUCUUCUUUUUGAUUCUUUGUGUAGUUUGUGAGUCUUGGGCCAAUCACCAUCAGGAACAUCUUCCACAGAGAGUGCAGGCAUGGCAUCAGAACACCUGGGCCAGGAAGAACAAGAAAAGAAAACUCACUUUUGUUUUGAACCUAGGGAAAAAUUAAUUCAAGGGUGUAACAUAUUCUUGAGGCAUUUGUGUCAUUCUUCUUUGACAAAGGAGGAGUGCUUCCUGAGUACAUCUUCCCACUUUCUGGAAUUGGGAUGGUAGUAGAGUGUUUUCUGUGUGAACAACAACAACAAAAAAAACUUAAUCCGAUGUUAGUGUUAAGGAAAUAUUGAGAGGUUUUCAAUAUGUGGACCAAUGCAUGUGGAGCUCUGUGGUCAUCAUCCCCAUGCUCACAGCCCUCCCAGGGAAGUCUAAACAGAAAAUUACUAUAGCUCUCAUCCCCCAGAGUAGAUGGAGGUCCAAGGGCCAACCACUGCUCCUGAAAUUGGGUCAUUGGAAAUUCAUACCAUCAGCUAAACUGAGAAGGGGCCUCUUCUGGAGACUGUAGCUGGGUAGGAAAGCUGACACCAUCACUGCUGAAUGGCUGGAGGUGCAGGGUGGUCCCACUGUAUAACUAAGAGUCCUCAUGGGAAGAACCAAUCUCCUGGAGCUCCUCACACCUCCACACAUCUCCCUCCAGUUAGCACACCAGCUGCUCAGGAGGAAGGUCAGACAAAGCUUCCCUCAUGUUUCCAGUGGGGAUAGAGGAAACUGAGGCAUUGGCUUCUAGGUCCACCUGGAUCCAUCCUCCUUUCAUGAAUACAACAUAUUCCCUAUGAUAAAACAUCUGAGCAGAGCCUAACCAGCCUGGGUUCCCUGGCAUGGGGGAAGGGAUGGCUCCAAAUGUAGUCCCAUCUGGCCUUUUAUUGGGGAGAAUGGAAAUAACUACCUCCAGUUUCCUCUGCACUUCCAGUCACAUCUGAAGAGGAGGAAUGAGAAGGACUUGAGAAAGUCACAGCCCAGGGUCUCAGGCUCAAUUACUGACUGGUCUCAGGAUUAAUGAAGGCUUCCUCCCUCCAUACCUCACCCUGCAACUCUAGGACCUCCAUAUACUAAUGGCAGUUUUCACAAGACGGAAUUGUAAGACUCAGACCUUAUGAAGAUAUCCUUAGGAAAACCAAAGUCACAAGCCCUUAAAAAAUACAGCUCAUCAUCACACCACAACUCUGAGCCAAUAAAAUAUAAACUAGAUCUAGAGGCCUACAAGCCUCUGUUCCUUUUCGCCAGUACAUCAUGUCCACAGCAGGACUAAAUGUGAAAAGUGCACUAACAAAAGGCAUCAUUUGAAGAGACAGAGGCAGCAGUAGAACCAUCCUGAAACAUGCAGUGAAGAGAGCCUUGGACAACUGAGAAAGAGAAACAAGUGUGGUUAAUAUGCUAGGGCUCUAAAGGACACAUAGGGCACAUGUGAUAUGAACAGAGAGAAUGUGCAGUGUGGAUAGAGCAAGCCUGGGAGCCGGGUUCUGAUUUGGCAGAAAUAUUGCAAUGGUAAGGCUAGGAUUUUAAAAUCACUAAGAUCAUAACCCACUUGAAUCAAAGUGUGGAAUAUGAUAUGUCAAGAAAUUUGCAAUGUUUUGAACAACCAACAAUAAAAAAAUAAAAAAAAUAAAUAAAUAAAUAAAAUCACUAACAUCAAUAUGUGCCUGGAUCCAAAGUGAAAGACAGCGUGCAAGAACUGAUGAGGGAUGGAAAGGGGACAGGGCAAACUCUAGUGAGAAUACAAACAUGAAGGUUAGUUGUUAAAAAUGUCCUCACAGGAGAGGGCCUUCCAUAUAUGUGCUUCUGCAUAGACUGGGCAGUGGCCAAGGAUUCAAAAGUGUCAUUUGAAGUGAACUGAACAAACUCUGAGAAUACAGAGAAGCAAUACAGAAACCUGCCAGAGCAGGUGAGCAAGGGAUUGCACUAAGUUUCCAAAAUCACUCCAGAAUUCUGCCCCUGAGAAUUACAGUGAAUGAGCUCCAAAACAUACAGAGCCUCCUAGCAGAAUUGAUCACCCAGAGGGAAGAACCAGUGAGCUCCAACACAGUUCACUUAAAUGCCAAAGAGAGCAGAAACAGAGGAAGAAAAUGAAGUAGGAAUAAAGAAAGUGUAGGAGACUUGGGGAAGCAACAUGAAGGGCCAUCUCUUAAGAUAAAUUGGUUGUCUUCUCAGCAAAUGUUAAAACUACACUGAAACUACCAGAGUAUAAGAACAGUAGUGAAUAAACUGGCCAUAUUUCAAUGUGGAAAACAAAGUAGAAAAUCUUCAUGAUCAUUAGAACCCUAUGCAUGUUACAUUAGCAAAAUCAUUGACCCAAAACAUGCAUGCUAAAGAAUUUCUACAACACAGUUCUCUUACUCUUCAAUAAUCUGCUCGUGUCCAUCAGAAAGAUGCUGCAUCCUUAAUGACUUCUUGCCACAGUCCCUUCAAUGACUAUCAGUGAACUGAAGGACAAAAUACAUGAAAAAAAUGAGCCUGAUCUCAAAGUCCAUUAAGCAACUGAUGAGCAGUAAGGACAGCCUCCUGGACCCACCUCUGCCAAUCAUGGCUAAAAAGCCUCCUGUAAAAAGGAGAAACAGACUACAACAACAUUCAGAAGAGUGGUGACGUGUUGCACAAUGGAAUACAUAAGCUGGCUUUCUAAAUAACUGUCCUUGCUCCUCAGUCACCACAGAAUACACUAAGAGGAUUAUUCUGCACCUAUUUUAUAAAUUCCAUGUGGGAAAAAUAAUACUACUACCAAAAGUGGGGGUGCGGGGAAUGCAGUGCCAAGGAGCAGGUCUUGGUUGGGUCAUCACCUCUAGGAUUCCAGCUCUCCUUUAGCUUGACUUCCAUCUCUUCACAUUUCUACCAGGACACUUAACUUACUGAGAGCCAUGUUGCCUGGCCCAGAAGGCUGAUCCUUGUAAAGACAAGUGUUGGAGUUCCGUCUAGGGCUUCCUCCUAGUUCAUCAUACAAAUACCUUGUGGCAAUUCUUCUAUUUUAAAGGGUAGGCUGAUUGACAAGCCCACCUCACCAAACAAACAAAGAAAAAAACAAUGAAACCAACAAACAAAAAACAGUGGUUUCAUGUGAAAUGUGAUAUGGAACAGUUUUUGAGAGCUGUUCCAUUCCCUUAAUGACUGGUUGUCUCAAUUGUUGGGGGUGUGGAUCAAAAUGAGAUUUCCUGGAAAUCUUUAUCAUUUCCCCAGAUUUUUACUGCUGCAGUAUGUCUUAGCUCCCCCUACCUCCAACCGCUACCCCUUGGUCCCUUUUCUCCACUCAUCUUUCCCACAUUUCUUUUCCUUUUUAUUCUUUUUUUUUUUUUUUGCAUAUCAGAGGAAGCAUACAUCCCAUAUUUGUGCAUCUAAGUUAUUUGUGGAUGUUGGUGUGUAGGUUUUUUUCUAGAUGUGUCCUCAUCUGGCUUUGGUAUGUGUGCAAUGCUGGCUUUAUAAAUUUGGAACGUGUUCAUCCCUUUGUAUUUCAUGGAGUAAUUUGAGGUGUUUUGGCAUCAGUUCUCCUUUAAAGGUUUUUGGUACACCUCAGCUGGGAGUCCAUCCAGCCCUGGGUUUUUCUUUGCUAGAGACAAUAAUUAAAAGCCUUCCAUCUCAUUACAACUCAUUGGUCUGUUUGGGUUUUCUUUUGCUCUUGAUUCAGUUUUGGUAGAUCCUAUUUAUCUAGAUAUGUAUUCAUUUAUUCUAGGUUUUCCAAUGUAUUGGCGUACCAGUUUCAAAGUAGUCUCUAAUGAUCUGCUGGAUUUCUGUGGUAUCUAUGGUGAUUUCACCUUUUUAAUCUCUAAUUUUAUAAACUUGGAUUUUCUCUCCUUUUCUCUUGGUUAUGUUAGCAUUAUCCAUCUUGUUUACAUUUUCAAAGAAACACUGUUUCAUUGGUCCUUAAUGUUGUUAUUUUUUAUUCCCAAGUGCAUUAAUGUUGGCUCUGAUCUUAUUUCCUUCCUUCCUUCAGUGUUUGCUCCUCCACCAUAGCCUGGCUUUUACACCAUUUCCCAUUUACAAGGUGCAUGAUGGGGGCUUCCUCAGUAGAGGGUGCUGAAGUGACACUGCAGGAAGCAGAGGCCUCUUGUGGUUAAGCUACUGCACCAUUGCUCUGUGAUGCUGGUAUGAGUCCAUGUGAGGGCAGCCUGGAUCAGGUGAGGGGAUUCUCAGAUCCUGAGGAAGGCUUUGGUCUCCAGGAAAAUUUUCCAACCCUUUCCAAGCUGAUCUUAGGUGAUGGUGCCCUCCUAGUGAAUGGUCCAACUGUAGUGGGAGGUACUGACUCUGAGUUCAGAACUUGGCAGUCCCUGGCUCUACCCAUGCCCACCUGAGUGGUAACACAACAACCACACUGCCUUUACCGGCGCAUAUUCCCAAGGGUCCCCCAUGCCUUUCUGUUCAGAGGAAGCUGUGAGAGCCAUGGAAGCUGCUCCCACAGGGGUGAAGACCUGGCACAAGGCAGAAGAUGCUGCAGACUACUGAAGAUGCUGCAGACCUUGAAGAAAAAGUCUAGGGAGAAGAUGACCAAGAUUCAUCAAUGGAUGUGUCCUGUCUACUGGAAACCUUCACAGCACUCAUCCUCCAGGAGCCAAGGAAUGGCCUGGUUCCUGUCCUGCAAAGGGGAACACCUCCUAUGGCCAUGAAUUUUUAUAUUCCUACCCAAAUCUGGUUAAUCCUCAGAAGGUGCUGGAGCUGCUGUGUAGUAAAAGGUCCAGCACCACCCCAAGUGAUGUAAUUGCCUCCAGUAGCCAUGGCCUAAUUUACCUGCUUAUAUUUUUGGAGCAUAUUAUCACAUUCCCUGUGAAGGAGGAGGAAUAGCCCUGAAAACCGAAGUUGGCCCUACACCAGCACUGAACACACAGGAAGAUAUGGAGCCAUGAGUGGCCUCUGUAAACAUUCAGGAAGAGGAGACAGCUUAGCUGCCACUAAGCAAAUCAUGGCUCACCAUCCUCUUAUUCUCCAAGACACACUAUUGAAGUAGAACCAUUAAUAAAUCAGUAAUGGUUUGUACUAUUUAAAUAAAAGGAAGAGUCUUAUGCUUUGCACUUCACAUAAAAAGCUGUGCAUCUUGCACUACUUUGUCACACUGAGAAUGCAAAGGAAAUGUUCAUGAAGGAAAUUAAAGGGCUGCUCCAGGGCAUAUGUAAAUGACAAAAAGGAAAUAACAGCAUUAUUUCUCAUUCGGAAAAAAACUUUUCAUAGUGUGGAGAAAAGAAGAAACGACCCACGUUCCAUUCAGCCAAAGCCAAAUCCAGAUAAGGCCAUCACGUUACAUUGUUCUACUGACAAGAGAAUUGAGAAAGCUGCAGAAGAAGUUUGAAGUUGCCAGAGUUUGUUUGAUGAUGUUCUUGGCAAGAGGCUCCUCUCCAUAAAAUAAAAGUGCAAGGCAAAGAAGCAAGUACUGAUGCAGAAGCUCUUGCAAGUCAUCAAGGAGGUCUUGCUAACCUAUUUGAUGAAGAUGUUUUGUGGGUUAGGUAGUAGGUGUCCCCAGAAGCUCACAGGUGAGCCAAUGCAAGGUUUAUCAAUGAGAUGAUUCAGUUUUGAGAUCAGUGAGUUAAUCCCUUGACAGAAAUAAACAGGCAGCAGGCAUGGAAGGGCAUGUGAUGGACCCUUCCCAAGCCUAGGGGUGCAGGUGGCACCUGUGGAAGUGUCCAGUGGGUCUGAAAUAAGUCUGGUAUCCAGAACUGGAGCCUACAGAGGCCAGCCUUAGCAUUCCACAGCAGGGUUCCACAUUGGAGUUUCCCAGUGACCCGGAGCAGUGCAGGAUUCUGUAGCAGGAGCAUCCAUCUGUGAGGAGGAUGUCAAACAGGAGUCCCAUGGCAGUUUGGGGAGUCCAGAUGUAUCAGUGGCAGGAUGGGGACUUGGCCUCAGGCUUGGAGGACAGCCACAAGCAGGAACCAGGACAGUGAAGCCUUGGUGUUGGGCCUCUGUGGAAUGUCAGUUUCUGGAGUUCAGUUAUGGCAGCGGUGGCAAAGGCAACUGAGGAGUCUGGAGGUGGCGGCAGCAAGCCAGGCAUCCAGACAGGAGCAUCCUCAUCCUCUGGUGGUGGUGGGAGUCUGUUCCCAAUGCAGUGGUGGUGGCUGCAGCAUUACUGGUGGCUAUGUGGGGACUCCAGUGGAGCUCUGGUAGCGGUGAUGGUGACAGCAUGGGACAGUGGGCCUCAGAGUCAGAGGGCAACUGGAGGCUGUGAUGGUCUCUGCAGUGGCUCCUGCAGGUGACUGGUCUUGCUUCUAGUAGAACCUGCCUGCUCAGGAAGCAGGACAUAGGAGCUGGUGGUACCCAGACAGCUGCUGAGGUCCUUAUACUGACCAGGCCAGCCAUGCCUGGCAUUGGCCUUGAGUCCACCAGGCAGCUGCUCGCCUGAUCCUUGAGUCCCUCCCAGGGUUGUAGCCUCUAAGGGGUGAGUAGGCCAUCUUCCAGCUGGGGAAGCCUUUGGAGAGGACACCCACCCUCCCCAGGCACAUCUCCCCUGGGCUGUGGCAGCAGAGUGCAGAGGUGGGAGGUGGGGGGGGCCUAGAAAAUCCUCACCCUCCAAGGGCAUCCUGGGGCAGGACAAGAGUGGAGGGCACAGGUGGCAGAGGGAGCCUAAGGGUGCAGACCCUCUGUCUUGGUCUUCUGCUGCCCUUAGCCACAGAAAUGUGCUUUGGGGGUGAAGAUGUCCUAGGACCUCUGAUCUCUGUCCCCACAGUCCAUGCAGGAUGUGGCUGGGGACAGUGGGGUUCUCUCCUAAGGCCACCUCAAUCUGGCAGACAGCCUAGUUCCUCAGUAGAAGCUGUACCAGGGCAUGAGGUGAAGAGGCACCAAGUGGGCUCAUGGCCAGAGCGAGGCAUGGCAGCUGAGGGCAGAUAAGUUCCUGGAUUGCUGCCUGGGUACUGUGGUCUCCCAUAUGCUUCUUCCUGAGCAGGCCAAGUCCACCAGGAGAAAGACCAGGGCCUGGAGCUUCCAGAGGCCAUCUUAGCUACUGGUCACCUUCUCACUCUGAUGCCCACUAUCCCAUGCCCUCACGACCACUGCCAGCCUGGAGCUCUUUGCUGUAGCCACCCAGAUUCCCCACAUGGCCACUGGAUGCCACAUUCACCACCCUGCAGCCGGACCCCAAUUACUGCUGCAGGAAUGAGAUGCUCACUGCUGGACACUGCCUGUUGUUGCUGCCCCUGCUUCUGGGCUCUUCUGGUGCCACCACCAUCAUGCAGCAAUUGAACUUUCAAACUCCAGCUGGAUUCUGAUGCUGCCCACCAAGGACCCAACGUCACUGCACUUCACCCCAAGCCUGAUAUCCGACCCCUAUACUGAGGACCCCUGAUGCAGGUGCAUGUUGCUCUCACCCCUGCCAGACUUUGAAGCUCCACCCUGCUGUCACCAGACUUUAACAUGGACACCAGACAGUGAUGCUCAGUACUGGAUGCCAACUUUAUUGCAACUGCAGCCAGACUCUUGUCACUAUGGCAGGAUGACAACCCUCAGGACUGGAUGCCUCUGUUGUCACAACCACUCUUUCUGGAUCCUUCCACAGUCACCGCCAGCAUGAGUAGGAAGCAAGCUUUCUCUCCUUAAUUUGCACCCUUUAAGCUGAGCAUCAGGAAGAAGGAAACACCUGACAAGCUCAAGGAUCAGAAGGACACCAACCCUUCUCAAGUCACUCUGGAAGAUGACUAGCCUGCAUGUGCCCAAAGCUAGAGGAAACAUCAGCCCUGCUUCAGCCACUGUGGGCUGGAUGAUCCACACAAGGUGUAAGAUAAACUCACCAACAGGAAAAUGGACUGUUUCUCCCUCUAAGACAGCUCUUAUACUCUCAUUGCCACCACUUACCUCUUUCAUAUACACAGUCCUUUCUUUUGUCUUGACUCUAGGACUGAUAACAAUCAAACACAUAGUUAACACUAUCAGAAAACUACCACAUGUACCAGUUCAAACCUGAAAGGGUAUUACGGUUGGCAUCCAAGCUCACUAGUUGGUGGAUGGUUUCCUGUUCUUGAUGGAUUCAAAUCUUAAUUGACAUAGCAGGGAUUAUGCUAUGAACUUGUUCAUUGCUUCCAUGUUUGCUUCCUCUUUACAUUACAACUAGUGGGUCUACUAUAGAAGCAGCUGUUAAAAAAAAUAUGA